GAUGGGCACGUUGGGGCAGAAGUGCUUCACCUCGGGCACCCACUUCUCAGGGAUGUUCUCCAGCGAGUCCGGGCUGUCCACCGAGAAGCACAUGAGGAUGACGUCGGUGUCCGGGUAGGACAGCGGCCGCAGGCGGUCGUAGUCCUCCUGGCCCGCCGUGUCCCACAGCGCCAGUUCCACCUGCUUGCCGUCCACCUCGAUGUCGGCCACAUAGUUCUCGAAGACGGUGGGCACGUACACCUCGGGGAACUCGUCCUUGCUGAACACGAUCAGCAGGCGGUCCCUCCAGGGUUCUGGUCCCCGCCCGCCCGGUACUCGGCGCCUAAAGACAGCUCCGGUUUGAACCCAUGCAGCGCGGACCCCUGUGAAGUCUGGAAGUCAGAGAAUCGUCCGCGGUGAGGAGCACAGAGAGGAUCCGUGCAGACCCCACUGAGCAGACAAAAAGGCCGGGAACGUGGGGUGGGGCGCAGGUGAGCGCGGUAGUGGCUAGACCUGCAGUCCUCCGGCACACACCGUCCCGGAGCGUGCAGGAGGUGAGCCCCACCUCUGUCUACAAGGACCUCAGCCAGCCCUUGCAGUGGACGGAGGAGAGGAGUGGGAGUGGGAGUGGACAGAUGGAGACGGGAACCCAAAAUGGGGCAGCAGAGGGUCAGGUGGGGCGCGUGAGGGGCGUUAAAGUGCCAGGGGAGCAGGAGGCUGCCUGCAGGGCGAAUAAAUGGAAGUUUCCAGGUCUGAAGAAGCGGAAACUUAGGUUGUCUCCAUGCCCCUUUCUAGACUGCGAGUCACGGCUGGAGAGGCAGGGUGUUGUCUCCUCUCUCGGUGUCCUGAAACCCUAGCCCAUAUCUAGCCUUUGCAAGAAGUCGAUAAACGAUAAAUACAGGGUGUGUUGGCCCUUCCCUGUAGCCCCAGGCUGUGGGGGCUGAGCCGGGAGGAUCUCUUGAGCCCAGGAAUUUGAGGUCAGCCUGGGAAACAUAGCAAGACCCUGUCGUAAAAUCAUCAGUGACGGUGGAGUGCUAAUCCAGAUGCUCAGCACUCAUUAGGUGCUUUCUAGGGCCUUCUUUCCUCAACUCCAGGUUCUGCUUUAACACUCACCCACCAGACCCAUGCCGCCAGCCAGGCCUGGGGUAAAAACCUCGCGUGUUAAUUUGGAAAGCCCACGCAGACCAAGUCAGGUCAACGGGAGUGGGCCUGCCAGGAUCUGCUGACCCAGAGACCCUGGACUGGCUCUCCAAGAGGCCUGGCUUCUUGUCUGUGCCUCAGACCAAAAGAAAAGAUAUGUCAGCAGCCAGAUAGUUGUGUUUAGGUCAUUGGUUUAGGCUUCAGUCUGGAACUUUGUUUUUUAAGUUAUCCUAGAAAAUCUUAUCUACAUCUAUUUUUCUUCCUUUAGUUAAAACUUUUUAUGACUGUAUUGUUAGAACUGUUUCCUUGGUCUUAAUAUAGCUUAAGAAUCUUGGCGCCACAUCCUUAAACUGCUAAAAUUAAGAAAGCUUAAAACAAUCAAAGCUUUUUACCAUGUGCUUAAAAAAAAACAAAUAAAAGAAUCAGGAUAAAGGAUUAAGUUUGUCCUUUCCUUAUUUCUAGACUUGUUAUAUGAGGUGUUCAAGUUCAAAUGUCUAUAUCAAAAUAAUUGCUAAAAAUAGACACUGGGUAAAUAUGCCAAAGUAAACAAAUAGAAAAAGUCAAAUCCUGUGGCAGCUUCUUUUCAUGAUGUUCUUUUUUUUUUUUUGCCCAGGCUACUUUGGCAGCCCCGUGGAGGCUGGCUGCUUUAGAGACCACAGCACUCAGAAUAAACUUUUUCCAAACUAGGCAACAUGUGGCACAAUCUCCUCCCUGGCCCCACACCUUCCAUGGUGCGUUUUUCCUGCAAGGCAGUGAUAAAAUCCAGUUCUUCAGUUCAUCUUAAUAACUCAUUGUAUUAACACAUAGAUUCAUUGUAUGACAGGUAACAUAGUCACAUCGAGGAGAGAAAUUUUCAAAUAAAAAGAGAGG
rnacentral:lncRNA from 1 species